UACGGGGGGGGCAAGCGUUGUUCGGAAUUACUGGGCGUAAAGGGCUCGUAGGUGGCCAACUAAGUCAGACGUGAAAUCCCUCAGCUUAACUGGGGAACUGCGUCUGAUACUGGAUGGCUUGAGUUUGGGAGAGGGAUGCGGAAUUCCAGGUGUAGCGGUGGAAUGCGUAGAUAUCUGGAGGAACACCGGUGGCGAAGGCGGCAUCCUGGACCAACACCGACGUUCAGGCACGAAAGCGUGGGGAGCAAACAGG
rnacentral:rRNA from 1 species